GUUGUUGUUCUCUUUUGAAAAUGACGGAAAUUAUUUUUAUCGUCAAUCAUUUCCCGUUAAAGUGUUGAGGUUAACAAGGCCACGGAAUUGCCGAUACUUUGAGAAUUCUUUGGAGGUGCACGUCAUGCAACACUCAGACCGAAAUGAUUGGUACUAACAAUGGUUUAUCACCCCCAAGUGCAGCCAGCCACCUUUUCACUAGCCGUGAGGCGGCGUGCUUCGGUUGGAUUUGAAGUGAAUGUUGGGCAACUUCCCUUACCGCCAUGUUACCUAUCUAUAGCUGCUAUUGGAUGCCGCCGCAAGGAGCAAUCAUCUCGACGGAUAAAAAAGUGAAGAUCAAUUUGUAUGGUCCAUCCAAUGGCAGUGGUCUCCAGAUUCUGAUAAGUGACUCGGAUUUGGAGGUUCAUGAAGUAUGACAGCCAGUCAUUUUCAGAUAUCUGGCGCUUUUUGCACGCAGUUUUUGCACGAAACCACCCUUGACAGAUAAAAAUGACAACUGCCUCGGUGCAUUGUUGUGGAGCUGCCGAUUUCUAAGUUGUGUUGAGACCUCCAUACUUUUGGA